GGGGUUGUAGCUCAAUUGGGAGAGCAGGGGAUUUUUAAUCCUCAGGUUGUAGGUUCGAUUCCUACCGGCCCCA
rnacentral:tRNA from 1 species